rnacentral:rRNA from 1 species
GUGCCUACGGGGGGCAGCAGUGGGGAAUAUUGGGCAAUGGGCGCAAGCCUGACCCAGCAACGCCGCGUGAAGGAAGAAGGCUUUCGGGUUGUAAACUUCUUUUCUCAGGGACGAAGCAAGUGACGGUACCUGAGGAAUAAGCCACGGCUAACUACGUGCCAGCAGCCGCGGUAAUACGUAGGUGGCAAGCGUUAUCCGGAUUUACUGGGUGUAAAGGGCGUGUGGGCGGGCAUGCAAGCCAGAAGUGAAAUCUGGGGGCUUAACCCCCAAACUGCUUUUGGAACUGCGUGUCUUGAGUGAUGGAG